AUGAACGCUGGCGGCGUGCCUUAUACAUGCAAGUCGAGCGCACAGACGAGGAGCUUGCUCCUCUGACGUUAGCGGCGGACGGGUGAGUAACCCGUGGAUAACCUACCUAUAAGACUGGGAUAACUUCGGGAAACCGGAUCUAAUACCGGAUAAUAUAUUUAACCGCAUGGUUCAAUAGUGAAAGACGGUUUUGCUGUCACUUAUAGAUGGAUCCGCGCCGCAUUAGCUAGUUGGUAAGGUAACGGCUUACCAAGGCGACGAUGCGUAGCCGACCUGAGAGGGUGAUCGGCCACACUGGAACUGAGACACGGUCCAGACUCCUACGGGAGGCAGCAGUAGGGAAUCUUCCGCAAUGGGCGAAAGCCUGACGGAGCAACGCCGCGUGAGUGAUGAAGGUCUUCGGAUCGUAAAACUCUGUUAUUAGGGAAGAACAAAUGUGUAAGUAACUAUGCACGUCUUGACGGUACCUAAUCAGAAAGCCACGGCUAACUACGUG
rnacentral:rRNA from 1 species